rnacentral:rRNA from 1 species
UACGAAGGGGGCUAGCGUUGCUCGGAAUUACUGGGCGUAAAGGGCGCGUAGGCGGCACUGUUAGUCAGGCGUGAAAUUCCUGGGCUCAACCUGGGGGCUGCGUUUGAUACGUAUUGUCUGGAGUUCGGAAGAGGGUCGUGGAAUUCCCAGUGUAGAGGUGAAAUUCGUAGAUAUUGGGAAGAACACCGGUGGCGAAGGCGGCGACCUGGUCCGAUACUGACGCUGAGGCGCGAAAGCGUGGGGAGCAAACAGG